AAACUUUCAACAACGGAUCUCUUGGCUCUGGCAUCGAUGAAGAACGCAGCGAAACGCGAUAAGUAAUGUGAAUUGCAGAAUCCAGUGAAUCAUCGAAUCUUUGAACGCACAUUGCGCCCGCCAGCAUUCUGGCGGGCAUGCCUGUUCGAGCGUCAU
rnacentral:rRNA from 1 species